CUCCAGCCGGUGACUGAGCUCCAUCAGAUCCUCUUCCUUGUGCUCCUCAAACACCUAUUGGGAAACAGACACGUAGAUACAUAGAAACACCUAUUGGGAAACAGACAGGUAGAUACAUAGAAACACCUAUUGGGAAACAGACAGGUAGAUACAUAGAAACACCUAUUGGGAAACAGACAGGUAGAUACAUAGAAACACCUAUUGGGAAACAGACAGGUAGAUACAUAGAAACACCUAUUGGGAAACAGACAGGUAGAUACAUAGAAACACCUAUUGGGAAACAGACAGGUAGAUACAUAGAAACACCUAUUGGGAAACAGACAGGUAGAUACAUAGAAACACCUAUUGGGAAACAGACAGGUAGAUACAUAGAAACACCUAUUGGGAAACAGACAGGUAGAUACAUAGAAACACCUAUUGGGAAACAGACAGGUAGAUACAUAGAAACACCUAUUGGGAAACAGACAGGUAGAUA